CGACACCGGGGCCCUCCCUCCUCCUGAUGCACUCUCCGUCGCCGCCAUGAGCGUCUCCACCUUCUCCCGCGCGCCGUGAAUCCUCCCUCCCCCCUGCUCGAGACGCCAUCAAGGUCCGGUUCCAACUCUUCUUCUCCCCUCGAUCCGGAUGCUCUGCUCUCCGACACCAUCUUUUUGCUUGUUCGAUUCAGUCUGGAGCAGGAGCAGCUGCUGCUCGCGACCUCUAGUUCCUUCUUUCCAUGGAUGUGCUGCUGCUCGGGGCCCUCCCUAUGCUUCUCCUCGCUCGUACGGGUCCAGGGUUAGCUGCUCAGGGGACAUGGUGUGUUCCGUGUGGCGCUGCCUUCGCGGCAGCCGCCGUUGUUGUGUCUCGUGUGUCGCGGCAGCCAAUGGGUCGGGAAGGUCUGAGACUGGAGGUCCCUGCUCGCCAACUCACAGACGGUUGUUCUCCGACCAGUUAAAAAUGAAUUUUUUGAAGGAGAAGGAGGUGCGAAAGGGGAUGGGAGCAACAAGUCUAAAUCGAAGAGAACUGAUAGCAUGUCCUGCCAUGAGGAAUUUGAAGCGGUCAGAAGACAUAAGAGCCGGGUCCUAAACUAUGUUAAGGCCAUGCUGAUGUGUAAGAGUUUGCGGGUGACAUCCUCCAUGGCAAUCAUAUUCCCUCCAACAUCCUUCAGGCCAUGGCGA